rnacentral:rRNA from 2 species
CGAGCGAACUGAUUAGAAGCUUGCUUCUAUGACGUUAGCGGCGGACGGGUGAGUAACACGUGGGCAACCUGCCUGUAAGACUGGGAUAACUCCGGGAAACCGGAGCUAAUACCGGAUAACAUUUUCUCUUGCAUAAGAGAAAAUUGAAAGAUGGUUUCGGCUAUCACUUACAGAUGGGCCCGCGGUGCAUUAGCUAGUUGGUGAGGUAACGGCUCACCAAGGCAACGAUGCAUAGCCGACCUGAGAGGGUGAUCGGCCACACUGGGACUGAGACACGGCCCAGACUCCUACGGGAGGCAGCAGUAGGGAAUCUUCCGCAAUGGACGAAAGUCUGACGGAGCAACGCCGCGUGAGUGAUGAAGGCUUUCGGGUCGUAAAACUCUGUUGUUAGGGAAGAACAAGUACAAGAGUAACUGCUUGUACCUUGACGGUACCUAACCAGAAAGCCACGGCUAACUACGUGCCAGCAGCCGCGGUAAUACGUAGGUGGCAAGCGUUAUCCGGAAUUAUUGGGCGUAAAGCGCGCGCAGGCGGUUUCUUAAGUCUGAUGUGAAAGCCCACGGCUCAACCGUGGAGGGUCAUUGGAAACUGGGGAACUUGAGUGCAGAAGAGAAAAGCGGAAUUCCACGUGUAGCGGUGAAAUGCGUAGAGAUGUGGAGGAACACCAGUGNCGAAGGCGGCUUUUUGGUCUGUAACUGACGNUGAGGCGCGNAAGCGUGGG